AGAGUUUGAUCAUGGCUCAGAAUGAACGCUGGCGGCGUGCUUAACACAUGCAAGUCGUACGAGAACUCUUUAGCUUGCUAAAGAUAGUAAAGUGGCGCACGGGUGAGUAACGCGUGGGUAAUCUACCUCCGAAUCGGGGAUAACCCGCCGAAAGGCGAGCUAAUACCGGAUAAUAUCUAUAAAAUUUCGGUUUUAAAGAUCAAAGGUGGUCUCUACAUGUAAGCUACUGUUUGGAGAUGAGCCCGCGUACCAUUAGCUUAUUGGUAGGGUAAUGGCCUACCAAGGCUUCGAUGGUUAGCUGGUCUGAGAGGAUGAUCAGCCACACUGGAACUGACACACGGUCCAGACUCCUACGGGAGGCAGCAGUGAGGAAUUUUGCGCAAUGGGGGAAACCCUGACGCAGCAACGCCGCGUGAGUGAUGAAGGCUUUCGGGUCGCAAAGCUCUGUCAAGUGGGAAGAACAUGCUUGAUGCUAAUACCAUCUUGCACUGACGGUACCACUGAAGGAAGCACCGGCUAACUCCGUGCCAGCAGCCGCGGUAAUACGGGGGGUGCAAGCGUUAUUCGGAAUUAUUGGGCGUAAAGGGCGCGUAGGCGGUCUCUUAAGUCAGAUGUGAAAGCCCGGGGCUUAACCCCGGAAGUGCAUUUGAAACUAAGGGACUUGAGUAUGGGAGAGGGAAGUGGAAUUCCUGGUGUAGAGGUGAAAUUCGUAGAUAUCAGGAGGAACACCGGUGGCGAAGGCGACUUCCUGGACCAAUACUGACGCUGAGGCGCGAAGGCGUGGGGAGCAAACAGGAUUAGAUACCCUGGUAGUCCACGCAGUAAACGGUGAACACUAGGUGUAGCGGGUAUUGACCCCUGCUGUGCCGUAGCUAACGCAUUAAGUGUUCCGCCUGGGGAGUACGGUCGCAAGAUUAAAACUCAAAGGAAUUGACGGG
rnacentral:rRNA from 1 species